GUAACAAGGUCUCCGUUGGUGAACCAGCGGAGGGAUCAUUAUUAGAAGCCGAAAGGCUACUUAAAACCAUCGCGAACUCGUCCAAGUUGCUUCGGCGGCGCGGCCUCCCUCACGGGGGCGCCGCAGCCCCGCCUCUCCGGAGGUGUGGGGCGCCCGCCGGAGGUACGAAACUCUGUAUUAUAGUGGCAUCUCUGAGUAAAAAACAAAUAAGUUAAAACUUUCAACAACGGAUCUCUUGGUUCUGGCAUCGAUGAAGAACGCAGCGAAAUGCGAUAAGUAAUGUGAAUUGCAGAAUUCAGUGAAUCAUCGAAUCUUUGAACGCACAUUGCGCCCGCUAGUACUCUAGCGGGCAUGCCUGUUCGAGCGUCAUUUCAACCCUCAAGCCCUGCUUGGUGUUGGGGCCCUACGGCUGCCGUAGGCCCUGAAAGGAAGUGGCGGGCUCGCUACAACUCCGAGCGUAGUAAUUCAUUAUCUCGCUAGGGACGUUGCGGCGCGCUCCUGCCGUUAAAGACCAUCUUUAACUCAAGGUUGACCUCGGAUCAGGUAGGAAUACCCGCUGAACUUAAGC
rnacentral:rRNA from 1 species